AUAAAGGUAGUUUAAUUUAAAACAUCUAUUUUACACGUAGGAAAUGGCCGUACGGCCUAUUGUUAU
rnacentral:tRNA from 1 species